rnacentral:rRNA from 1 species
UACGUAGGGGGCAAGCGUUGUCCGGAAUCAUUGGGCGUAAAGAGCGUGUAGGCGGCCCGAUAAGUCCGCCGUGAAAGUCCACGGCUCAACCCUGGAAUGCCGGUGGAAACUGUCGGGCUCGAGUCCGGAAGAGGCGAGUGGAAUUCCUGGUGUAGCGGUGAAAUGCGCAGAUAUCAGGAGGAACACCAAUGGCGAAGGCAGCUCGCUGGGACGGUACUGACGCUGAGACGCGAAAGCGUGGGGAGCAAACAGG